CAGCAGCCGCGGUAAUACGUAGGGUGCGAGCGUUAAUCGGAAUUACUGGGCGUAAAGCGUGCGCAGGCGGUUAUAUAAGUCAGAUGUGAAAUCCUCGGGCUCAACCUGGGAACUGCAUUUGAGACUGUAUGGCUAGAGUGUGUCAGAGGGGGGUAGAAUUCCACGUGUAGCAGUGAAAUGCGUAGAUAUGUGGAGGAAUACCGAUGGCGAAGGCAGCCCCCUGGGAUAACACUGACGCUCAUGCACGAAAGCGUGGGGAGCAAACAGGAUUAGAUACCCGGGUAGUCCCUGUCUCUUAUAA
rnacentral:rRNA from 1 species